rnacentral:rRNA from 1 species
CGAAACCGAUAGCGAACAAGUACCGUGAGGGAAAGUUGAAAAGUACUCUGAAUAGAGAGUUAAAUAGUACGUGAAACCGCUUAGGGGUUAAGCCCGAUGAACCCGAAUAUCUGAUGUGAGAAAUUCAAUACGAUUCAAAUUCAUAUUUUUAUAUUGAAUUUGUAUAGUAUGCACUUUUCUCAUAGUAAGACAUUGUAAUCCAUUGAUAUUAUAUCUCAAUAAUGAGAUGAUUUAACAUACGGACAAAAUGUUUAUGAUUAUUCUAUCAGUGAUAUGUUUACAUGUCAUAUGAAUAAAAUCGUUUUGUUUCCUGUUUAAAUAGUCGAUGGAUUUUUUAUUGAAAUCAUGCUUGCAAUUUAUUUUGCGUUUCGUAUCAUUAAUUUUUAAUUUUUGAUAGCAGAAAUGGCAUGUAUUCGAUUAACAAUGCGAUAGAUUUGGGAUACUUUCAGGACCCG